UACGUAGGGUGCAAGCGUUAAUCGGAAUUACUGGGCGUAAAGCGUGCGCAGGCGGUUUUUCAAGACAGAUGUGAAAUCCCCGGGCUUAACCUGGGAAUGGCAUUUGUGACUGGAAGGCUAGAGUGUGUCAGAGGGGGGUAGAAUUCCACGUGUAGCAGUGAAAUGCGUAGAGAUGUGGAGGAAUACCGAUGGCGAAGGCAGCCCCCUGGGAUAACAUUGACGCUCAUGCACGAAAGCGUGGGGAGCAAACAGG
rnacentral:rRNA from 1 species